rnacentral:rRNA from 1 species
GGGUAACCUGCCCAUCAGAAGGGGAUAACACUUGGAAACAGGUGCUAAUACCGUAUAACAAUCGAAACCGCAUGGUUUUGAUUUGAAAGGCGCUUUCGGGUGUCRCUGAUGGAUGGACCCGCGGUGCAUUAGCUAGUUGGUGAGGUAACGGCUCACCAAGGCCACGAUGCAUAGCCGACCUGAGAGGGUGAUCGGCCACAUUGGGACUGAGACACGGCCCAAACUCCUACGGGAGGCAGCAGUAGGGAAUCUUCGGCAAUGGACGAAAGUCUGACCGAGCAACGCCGCGUGAGUGAAGAAGGUUUUCGGAUCGUAAAACUCUGUUGUUAGAGAAGAACAAGGAUGAGAGUAACUGUUCAUCCCUUGACGGUAUCUAACCAGAAAGCCACGGCUAACUACGUGCCAGCAGCCGCGGUAAUACGUAGGUGGCAAGCGUUGUCCGGAUUUAUUGGGCGUAAAGCGAGCGCAGGCGGUUUCUUAAGUCUGAUGUGAAAGCCCCCGGCUCAACCGGGGAGGGUCAUUGGAAACUGGGAGACUUGAGUGCAGAAGAGGAGAGUGGAAUUCCAUGUGUAGCGGUGAAAUGCGUAGAUAUAUGGAGGAACACC